ensembl:snoRNA SNORA72 Small nucleolar RNA SNORA72
CUGUGAAUAUUCUCGCUGUUCUGAUUUUGUGAUAAUCACGAUAGGCUAAACAUUCGCAAUAUUAAGACCAUUCGCAAUAUUAAACUAGUUCUUUCCCCAGGUCUGGUUUUAUAAAUGCUGGUGAUAAAC